rnacentral:rRNA from 1 species
GACAGAGGGGGCAAGCGUUGCUCGGAAUUACUGGGCGUAAAGAGCGCGCAGGCGGUCGUUCAAGUCGAGUGUGAAAGCCCCCGGCUCAACUGGGGAGGGUCAUUCGAUACUGAUCGACUUGAAGGCAGGAGAGGGAAGUGGAAUUCCCGGUGUAGUGGUGAAAUGCGUAGAUAUCGGGAGGAACACCAGUGGCGAAGGCGACUUCCUGGCCUGUUCUUGACGCUGAGGCGCGAAAGCUAGGGGAGCAAACAGGG